GUUACGCCUCAUUUUACGAGCCUCGGAACCACUCCGACCUCCCGAAGCCUCUCCGAAGUGAUACACCAAUUCCUGUCACUGAUCUGCCGAAGUGUCCCGUCUCCGACCCCGUUAGAAGAUUCGCUGCCAAUUUAAGAUUUGCUCUGCAUAUAAGGUUUAAAUUGAUGUGACGUCCCCCAUAAAGCUAUUUGAUGUGACUUAUCAACUUUAUGUCAAUUCAACUCGGGGGAAACAAACUGUCCGCCCACUCUACAAGCGCGGCUGAUUGACGCCUAUGAGCAGACGCUUCAUACCGUCAGAUGUAUACACGCGUUCCACAUCCCACGGUUCAUACCACCUAUAAAUACCCAAAGAUUGCCCAGAUGCAAAUGUAAUGAAACUCUCAAU
rnacentral:lncRNA from 1 species